rnacentral:lncRNA from 1 species
GAGCGUUGAAACCAUACCCAGGAGUUCUGCCAUUUUUUCCCGGGUCUGCGCUAGAGGCAGAGGAGAGAUCGGUCGCGCUGCUUUUGUUCGAGUGGUUGUGUCGUUGGCAGAUUGCCUUUCGCCAGAUCGAUUCCAGACUCUUGUGUUAGUUCGUUCUGGGACCAAGGAUCCCAUCGUGCCCGUAGGAGAGGGUGUUCACUGCUUCUGAGUCCCUCCG